AUUUGAUGCUCUACUUAAUUAGGAACCUGGACGAGCAGAAGCUGAUUUUGGCCGCCUUGAUGCCAAGACAGUUGUAAAGAACAUUUACAUACUCUUCUCCAGAAGUGAAAUACCCAUAGCACCUGAAAACAAAGAAAUCAUGGAUUUGGUGAGUGAUUCAACUCCUCUGCCACCUUGGUUCACGGAGGAAGAUCUCGCAGCUUAUGGAGCCUUGUAUGAGAAGUCUGGAUUUCGAACUGCAUUGCAAGUUCCGUAUAGGUGAAGCCUCAAUCCUUGAACAGGAUUAAGUUGUAGAAUACUUAUCAAAUAAGGACAUCAAUCCAUAUGAUAAAAUUAAAAUUGAAUUUGAGGCUGAAAAACACUGUCACUUGAUUUUGCAAUUUUUUGUUAUAGGACCCUUCGUGAAAACUUCAGCACACCAGAAGUGACAGCAGUUAAAGUUCCAGCAUUACUGAUAAUGGGGGACAAAGACUAUUUCCUCAAAUUUCCAGGGAUUGAGGACUACAUAAGAAGCGGCAAAGCGAAAGACCUUGUGCCCAAUUUGGAGAUCAUACAUUUGCCUGAAGGGAGCCAUUUUGUUCAAGAGCAAUCACCAGAAGAAGUGAACCAGCUAAUCCUCACCUUUCUCAACAAACAUGUUUGAUUGCCAGCCAAGGCUUUCUUGCUGUAUGUCUUAAGGGUUUGCUGGAGAUUAUGCGAGUCCCCUAGAAUUAUGUCUAGUCUAUGUUGCUUGAACAAUCGCUCUCUGUGUUAUCAUUUAGUAGUGGUGAAUGUAUGUGACUUAAUUUGGCAUGUGAUUAAUAUGAUCUUUUCAGAUGCCAUGAACAAUAUAUUAGUAAAGGAUACCUUGUUUUAAGGCCAAAUGGCUUCUAUGCUAUAGAUAGAAACUUUCUGUGCAAAUUAUUAUGUAAAGGUUACAAUAUUUUGAAAUUAUUGGUGAAGGAAAAAAACAAAAGUCAAAGCAGUUUGUAGUUAUAAAAUAAUGUUAUCAUAUGUCAAUCAUACAAUUCCGUUUGUAGUUAAAUGUCCAUAAGGUAAAUUAUUAUUAUGCACAAAAUAUGAAAAAAAUAAUAAUAAUUCAUGCUCCCUCUUUAAUCCAUCUCUUCUAGAACUCAAGAUUAUACGAAGUUGUUUUAUAUUGGUAAAGUUGCAAGUGGCCAAUAAUUUAUUUUCUAGGAAAUCUUCUUUGAAUUUGGGCUUUAAAUUCUCUCUGUGUACAUAGUCUUUCUUGUAUAUAUAUGUAUAUGUGUGUGUGUGUAUAUACAUACAUAAAUACACAAAAAGAAAAGAGCUAUGAGAGAAAAAGUGUAUCGUUAAGGGCAUGAAUUUUAUUGUUUCAAGUGAUUAAAAACAUUAUUUUAUUAUCUAUUAUGCUUUUCCUAGUCUUCUGUAUGUUUUUAGCAAUUUUAAUUUUAUUGUAGUAUGUCUGGAAUUGGAAGGAAGACUGGCAUAUAAAACAUGGAAAGAGCAUAGAGAUAUAAAGCCAUGGGAGAACAGUUGCAUAGAGAAGGAGAAAGGGUUGUAAAACCUGUAAAAGAAGAAGUUGCAUAAAUCGUUGUAAUGUAAUACAUAUACAAUAAGUGUCUGUUUAGUAUUAAAAUGAGCUUGGAGGGUAAAAUAUAAAUAUUUGAACCUUUUAAGUUUGUCUAUUAAGUAAAUGGGUUUGGUGAGUAUUUUUUUUUCAUAAUUUAGUUAAGGGCUGAUUAACUAAAUUAAUCUUCUCUUAAGAGACCAAUUAAGUCAAUAUGAUCUCUUUUUUCUCUUCUUAUACUUUUCAAAUUCAACUUUCCUUCGCUACUCUUUCUGUGCAAUUAUUAUUAUUAUUAUUUAUAUUUGUUGGUUUUCAUCACGUUUUGCACAAAUGAAGUUUAUUGUGAUAUGCAAUCUUCUUAGCACGACCCGGUUAAUGCUUUUGUCAAUUUUAUGGAAAUGGAUUGCGCUUACCCCAUGGCAAUCCCACACUUGAACAAAAGCAAGCGAGAGGCUGCAAAGCCAUGAAAUUAUCUAAUGAAGUUCAUAUGGUAUUUUACUUUUUGGGUCAAGAUUAUUAGAGUAAAUAUAAUAAAAUCAUAUUAUUCAUAGAGGUUGAUAUUGAUUGGUAAUUUUUUUCUCUUUGUUAAUGUGUAAAAAAAUAAUAAUGUAAAAGGUUCUUAUUGUAAAAGUAAACAAAAAAUAACAAUAGGAAUGUUGCUAAUUUAACAACAAUGAUAUUUUGAGGUACUUUUUUUAAAAGGGUGGAAUUAUUUACACUUUAAAAUUACUUUAAACACUCUAUUACUCUAUACACUCAUAUAUUAGAUCUAAAAGAUUAAGUUUUACUUCCUACACUCAUUAAAAUGUAAAAAAAAAAAACCUUAAUUUAAACUAAUUUAUUCAAAACACCAAUCAAACUAUUUAGUACAACCAAAAUGAAUUAAUAACAAUUUUAGUAUAUCCAACAAUAGAAUCAAGUUAUAUUCUAAAUAAAUUCUUUAACAUAAAUUUUAGUCAUUAACUUUUGUCAAUUAAAAGUGAUUUUUUAGCCCCCAAUUUUUUAACCAAAUAAUUUUAAAAAAAAAGUGGCCAUUUGGCCCAAAAAAAAAGAAAAACAAAAACAAAAAAAAGAACAAUAAGGAGAAGAAGUAGGCGAAGAAAAAGAAGAAGAUUGAAAAAUGGACGAAGUAGAAGAAGAGUAGAAGACAAAGAAAAAGAAGCAGAAAAUUAUAAAAAAAUAUCUUUUUUUUUUAAAUCAAAAAAUAAAAAUAUGUUCAAAAUAUAUUAAGAAUUGAUUUGCUCCGUGUAAAAUUAUGUUAAAAACAUAUUAAGAAUUGAUUUGCUCCGUGUUUAACUAAUUAUUGUUAAUAGAUUGGAUUUAAAAUUUUAAGAUUUACGGUAAGAAAAUUAUAUGUUAAAUAGUGAAUAUUCACAAUAAUUGUAUUAUGUAAGUUUAAAAGAAAGAAUACUUUAUUAAUCAUUGAUACGAUGAAUAUCUUCAUAAUAAAAAUAAUUUAUUAAAAUUAGAGAGUUUAAAAUAAUUUUAUGCGUGUAAACAACUUCAUUUCUUUUAAAAUACGGAUUAAAGGAGCAUUAAUCUCAAAUUAUAAAUACCGAAUGGGAUAUUACCUCAUAAAUGUUCGAGACAAGGACAAAACUCACUGGACUUGUCGACUUCGAAACUCUGAAACGAAUCUCUCUUAUCAUCCAUCUUCAUAUGCGCAAGAGUCAUCAUUACCCAUACUCUGUCUUCAUACACCUUAACAUAAACAGCAGUGCGCAGGAUUUGCUCUCCAAAAAUGGACAAAAUUGAGCACAAGUACAUCAAAGUACAAGGCCUGAACCUUCACGUCGCCGAGACAGGAACAGGUUUGCCAGUCACCAAUCCCGCUUUCCUUAAUCCUAAUCGUGCACCCACCUAAAUAAGUUUUAAUCAAACACCGUUCAUUUUUGUGUGUGAUGACGUCUGCAGGUCCAAAUGUGGUGGUGUUUUUGCAUGGGUUCCCCGAGAUAUGGUACUCGUGGCGCCAUCAGAUGGUGGCUGUAGCCGCUGCUGGCUUCAGGGCUAUUGCGCCUGAUUACAGAGGCUACGGCCUCUCUGACCCACCUGCUGAACCCGAAAAGGCCUCCUUUAAAGACAUCACCAAUGAUCUCCUCGCCACUUUAGAUCACCUCGGAAUUAACAAGGUAAUUAGCAUUAAAUUUAAUUGUUUCUUAAUGAUAAAUUUACCGAAAUGUUUCUGCUCACAUCAGGGUGUAUCAUUAGUUUCCAUUUUUACAAAUUGAUUGGGCGGGACUAGGAUGUUCCUUAGUUCAGAAGACUGUGUAUUUCCAUCUGCCCUUGUAUGGCGCAAAAGAAAUGUGCUUUAUUUACGUAGAUUAACUGUUGAUUAUCACUGAUUCUGUCUCUCAAUGAUAAUGAGCAUGUAUGUAUAGGUUUUUCUUGUUGCAAAAGAUUUUGGAGCCCGGCCUGCCUACCUGUUUGCACUUCUACACCCAGAGAGGGUCUCCGGUGUUAUUACAUUAGGAGUGCCGUUUAUACCUCCAGGUACUGCUGAAUUUCACAAAUCCCUUCCUGAAGGUUUCUACAUAUCGAGAUGGCAGGUAUGCGCGGUGGUUUGUUGCUUUUAAUUACACAGAAUUAGAGAAACAAAAUGACUUUUUUUUUUUGUUUGAAUGUUUUGGCAUUUGAUCAGGAACCUGGACGAGCAGAAGCUGAUUUUGGUCGCCAUGAUGCAAAGACUGUGGUGAGAAACAUUUACAUUCUUUUCUCCAGAAGUGAAAUACCAAUAGCACCUGAAAACAAGGAGAUCAUGGAUUUGGUGGAUGCUUCUACUCCUCUUCCACCUUGGCUCACAGCGGAAGAUCUUGCUACUUAUGGAGCUUUGUACGAGAAGUCUGGAUUUCGAACUGCAUUGCAAGUUCCAUAUAGG
rnacentral:lncRNA from 1 species